GACGAGCUCUCCAAACGUUAUUCGGUAUCACUGGGCUUAAAGAGUUCGUAGGCGGUCUGGUAGGUGAGGUGUGAAAUCCCCCGGCUCAACCGGGGAACUGCGCUUCAAACCACCGGACUUGAGGGAGACAGAGGUGGGCGGAACAGAUGGUGGAGCGGUGAAAUGCGUUGAUAUCAUCUGGAACACCGGUGGCGAAAGCGGCCCACUGGGUCUCAUCUGACGCUGAGGAACGAAAGCUAGGGUAGCGAACGGG
rnacentral:rRNA from 1 species